ensembl:miRNA
AGGAUCCUGCCAUAGGAAGCUUGGAGUGGAACUGACCUGCCCCGUUUCUCUCUGUCUCCAUGGCAG